rnacentral:sRNA from 1 species
CCGAGCUUCUCAGUAACCACCCACUCAUUCACACCACCCAGCUCCAGCAAGCCGAUGAACAUCGCCUUUGUUCGGUGAAACGACAUGACAUUCUCAAAGAGGAUCCAGAAUGGUAUGAAGUGGAUUGAACUGAAAGCAAAAAAAAGUAGUAACUAUAAUUAGGAACAUGAAACAUUCCUAUGUGGCAGUAAAAUAUUUGUUGUUAACAAAGCUUAAUUCACAUGCAAGCAUGGAAACCUUGUGUUUCUAAUGGCAUGUAGAAGUGUUAUUGUUGUUGGGACAUAAACCACUCCCCAAACAGGAACAGUGACCUCGGGGAUUAGGACCGAAAACGGGAUCACUACACAGUAGAGCAUGAAAGGUACCACAUGGGCAACAACCUUCCUCACAAAAAAGAAGCUGUAGAGCAAAUAAAACUUCCACCAAAAUGGUACCUCCUGCUCAAGAAAUAGAAGAAUAUAACAUGAUGUUACAUAGAUAUGUCCAAGAAACAAACAGUAAUUUACCUUAGUGAAUAAUAUUUCUGCUCCAACCUUCCGGAAUAAGUUUGCUGCUCCACAGGUCCACCGGUGUUGUUGAUGACGAUAUGUCUUCAGAUUGCUUGGAAGUUCACUUUUUACCUAUAAUUUCCAUGAUAAUUUACUUGCUAAACAU